rnacentral:lncRNA from 1 species
ACUAGAUCAGGUUGCCCAGGGCCCCGUCCAACCUGGUCUUGAACACCUCCAAGGACGGGGCAUCCACAACCUCCCUGCGCAGCCUGUUCCAGGCUUUCUGUCAGCUCUUUACCUGCUUUAACACCGGUCUUUGUCUUUGCAGGUGGGCACCUCCUCGGUGGUGUACCCCGCCGCCAUGUUCGCCCCGCAGGUGUCGUCCCGCGGGGUGCCGGUGGCAGAAUUCAACACGGAAGCCACUCCCGCUACAGACAGGUUCAGGUUCCACUUCCAGGGCCCAUGUGGAAGCACGCUGCCGCCUGCCUUAGCCCGCCACGAGUCCGAGAUCAUCGCCUGAGGCGGGGCGGGGGCGGUGGGGCGGGGCGGGGCGGCGGGCCCCGAUCGUGCCAAUAAAGCGUGUGGAGCGGCAGCCCCUGUGUCGUGGUCUGACUGCCGGCAACGGGAUAAAGGUAGAGCGGAAGGAAGUCCGAGGAACGACUUCGGAAGUCGGCGGAGCUUUUCCGGGUCGCGCUGAGACGCGUUGCGGAGCGUGGCCAUGGUGCGGCGGCUCAGACGGCAGAAGGGGAAGGCGGCCCCCGUCGGCCCGUCCGCCGCUUCGCCCUCCUCGGAGGAUGAGGAGCCCCCCGAGGAGCUGUCGUUCGGCACGGCCAGGGCGGAGGCCGAGGCCGAGAGGAAGCUCGUGGGGGAGGCGGCGCGGAGGCACCGGGAGCUGCUGAAGGAGAAGCGGCGGCGGCGGCAGGAGCUGUUCACGGAGCAGAAGAGAAGGAAGCUGCUGCCCGAGGCCCUGCUGCAGGAGCUGGCCGCAGCCCCGCCUGCACGGUGAGGGGAGGGCGGGGAGACACGGGCGGCUUGUCUGGGGCCCUUGGCUGCACGAAGCCGGAGUGUGCUGAGUGUGGCAGUAACGUGUUUUCCCCUUCCCUCGUAGAGCAGAUGAGCCGAGCCCCCCUGCUGCACCAGGUACUUUGGAUGUUCUGUUUCCACAGCUCACAGUUAGCAGAGAAUGAAGGUGGGAUUAGACCUUCCCUUUCCAGCAGCGCGUGGCUUUUCUAUUGCACUGAUUGUUCUUUUUUGGCCUGUACGGAAUCCCAUCUAUUUGGGACUGAUGGCAGGGAACAGGAAAGCACUGUAGCUUUUAGGCUGCCUUUUUCAGCAGCUCUCUGAGGGCACCGCUGCUGGGUUUUACCAAUCAGAGCAGCUGAAAAGUGCCUCCUGGCUGCUUGUUCACAGCUUGUGUUGCUUCACAGAAUCACAGAAUCACAGAAUCACAGAAUCACAAAAUGACCCAGGUUGGAAGGGACCUCAAGGAUCAUGUAGUUCCAACCCCCCUGCCUAGCAGGGCCACCAAACAUACACAUU